AUACGGAGGGUGCAAGCGUUAAUCGGAAUUACUGGGCGUAAAGCGUACGUAGGCGGUUAUUUAAGUCAGAUGUGAAAGCCCCGGGCUUAACUUGGGAACUGCAUUUGAAACUGGGUAACUAGAGUUUAGUAGAGGGGAGUGGAAUUUCAGGUGUAGCGGUGAAAUGCGUAGAGAUCUGAAGGAACACCAGUGGCGAAGGCGAAUCCCUGGACUAAAACUGACGAUGAGGUACGAAAGCGUGGGUAGCAAACAGGAUUAGAAACCCUAGUAGUCC
rnacentral:rRNA from 1 species